UGUGUGUAUCGUGCCUUCUGUGUCUUUUGCCUCGUGCCCCACAAAGGAUUAUCCGAAGCCCAGGUGUCCAUCUUUGCCACUGAGAUCUCUGUGUUCCUCGGCCCAGUGCGUGUUCCUUCAAAGCCUUGACUCAGGAGGCUGGACAGGCAACGGCGUAGCAUCUCUCUUAAGACAUCUGACCGGAUGGUUCUAUUCAGGUCUUGUUCUGAGCUGUUCUCGACAGCUGUGCAUGGCAACGAUCCCUCCCUUCUAGCUGGUUAGGACUUGUACAAAUUCCAGGAUAGGGGGAGAUUCUGACCGUAGGAUUCUGGGGCACCCAUCUUUGCCCCGCUUGCGAUAAGUCCUUCUGUUAGCGUCUUUGUUCCUCCAGGAUUCUCUGAGCCUGACGGGCUCACCGUCGCUCUCACCCAGGUCAUCUGGUCCCGCCUUCUCUGGGCCCUGGCUGGCAUUCUUCUCGCCGAGAGCUUUCUCUCCCUGUUGUGUCCCCUCGUUUGUCUUGUUCUGUGUCACGGGUGUCUGGGUAUUGGGCCCGAAGCUGCUCUGCCCUGCUGCACAGCCUGGUGUAGGUAUCAUAGGACGAGUCCUGGGGCCUGGGGAGUUGUAAUGCAGGGUGUAGCUGGACUCUAGAUGGCAUUUGUCGAUUGACACAAGAUGUCUGGAAGGCCUAAGUUAUCCUGCAGCCCUCUGACCCCUGUCCUCCCAUUCUUUCAGGUGCUGGCAGAUGAAAUCCGUGGCGGAGCGCCCCGUGGCGGGUGAGUGGUUCCCCUGAGCAGGACAUAAAGCCGAACCUGAGGAGUCAAGGCGGUCCACGGGUAUCACGCCGAGACCCCGUCAGCGAGUGGCCGACAGACCCGGUUCGUCGCUCUCGUGGGAACUCGCUAAGCGGUACGGGGCUCUGUGAUGGUGCCGUG